GACUCCUACGGGAGGCAGCAGUGGGGAAUUUUGGACAAUGGGCGCAAGCCUGAUCCAGCAAUGCCGCGUGCAGGAAGAAGGCCUUCGGGUUGUAAACUGCUUUUGUCAGGGAAGAAAUCUUCUGGGCUAAUACCCCGGGAGGAUGACGGUACCUGAAGAAUAAGCACCGGCUAACUACGUGCCAGCAGCCGCGGUAAUACGUAGGGUGCGAGCGUUAAUCGGAAUUACUGGGCGUAAAGCGUGCGCAGGCGGCUUUGCAAGACAGAGGUGAAAUCCCCGGGCUCAACCUGGGAACUGCCUUUGUGACUGCAAGGCUAGAGUACGGCAGAGGGGGAUGGAAUUCCGCGUGUAGCAGUGAAAUGCGUAGAUAUGCGGAGGAACACCGAUGGCGAAGGCAAUCCCCUGGGCCUGUACUGACGCUCAUGCACGAAAGCGUGGGGGAGCAAACAGGAUUAGAUACCCUGGUAGUCCACGCCCUAAACGAUGCCAACUGGUUGUUGGACGGCUUGCUGUUCAGUAACGAAACUAACGCGUGAAAGUUGACCCGCCUGGGGAGUACGGCCGCAAGGUUUGAAAACUCAAAGGAAUUGACGGGGACCCGCACAAAGCGGUGGAUGAUGUGGUUUAAUUCGAUGCCACGCGAAAAACUUACCUCCCUUGACAUGCUGAAAUUCAGCAGAGAUGUGGAAGUGCUCGAAAGAGACUAAGA
rnacentral:rRNA from 1 species